CCUUUAUCCAUUCAUCUGUCUGUCUCUCCAUCCAUCCAUCCAUCCAUCCAUCCUGUCGGUUCUGUUUCCCUGGAGAACCCUGACUAACAUAGGUACUUAAGAUAUCGGUCCAAUGACAUCCAUGAGGACCCAACGAAGCAGUUGGGAGUCAGAAUAUUGUCACACCAGGUUAUUGGAGGUUGACUUUAAAGCAAAGAUCUUUAACAUAGUGAAGAGUACAGACUUCAGAGGUUCCACUUAGAUAAGUCACAUAGUCUCUGAACAUGGGAUGCAAAGAGGGUGCUGCAGAACGGGAAGAGCCUAAAUUAGGACAACCGCUGAGACAGCAGAGGAGGAGGUACCAGCUCAUUCGUGGUGGGAGAGAGGAGAUUAAUCCCCACUGCUGUGCCUCGCCCUCUGUGUUCUUGGGGACCUCAGGCCAGCAGUCAUCGUCCCUUUCUCUCACCUUCAAGCACUCAGUCUACCGACCUUCCUCCUAGGCCCCUGCCUCCACCCCUCACCUCACAAGGUCAGGUCCAUCAGCCUCCCCUGGCUCCUCCCAUGGUUACUGAGGUCUUUCCCCACAUCAGUCGGCACCCAGAGCUGCUGAACUUGCACUCUUUGGGUGCCAAGUGCAUCACCUGCUCUCCUUGCUCUUUCCUUCUUUCAGUCCUUCCUCAUUCUCACCCGAGUUACCAAAGUGCCCUCCAAACUCACCUCCCUUUUGUAGCAACACUUCUCACCAAUCUUCCUCCAGGCUGAUGUCUAACUAACCUUCCCAAAAUGAAAGUUUAAUCCUGUCACUUUUGUUUAAAAGUUGGCCCAGGAAAAUCCAAGCUCCUCAGCACCUGAGCCCCCUCCUCUGGCCUCAGCACCGGACACCCACCUCUGCAGGCUGCUGGUUACCUAAAGGCGCGAGCUGAUCACUGCCUGUGCCCUGUCAAUCCUUCGUCCUGGUUUCCCACUCCCUUCUGCUCCAUCAAGGCCCCCCCGUUCUGGCUCAAAAUGCAGCUCGGGGCAAAUCCUCCAGCGCCUUGCUACUCGGCAUCCCUGGAUCAACCAGAGCCGCCUCACCCGGGAGCUUGACGGAUGUGCAGAAUCUCAAACCCUGUCCCAGACCGACUGAACCAGGAUCUCACCUUAAUACGAUCCCCAGAUGACACAUAUGCACAUUAAAAUCUUGAGAAUCACUACUCCCACACCCAGUGUGAGUGAGUGAGUGGGUGAGGGAAAGAACAUAUCAGUUACUGAGAUUAUGUCCAUGUUUUGGAAGCAAGGGGGGCAAUGAAGAUAUUUGCAACAAAGAAAUGAAAUAGAAAUGGAUCACGAUGUUGAAACUGCCUCAUAUACACAUAAAUUUCACGACACUUAAGUAGCUAUUAUUUAUGUGGAGAAAAAAAGGUCAACCCAAAGAAGGGAAAACAAAUGUAAUAGAAGAUAGAACUUCAGAGACAUUUUGUGACUUAAAAGAAGAAAUUUGGGGAAAUGUAGAAAAACAGUUUCGAAAUUUGCCCAAUUGAUUUCCAAAAUCAUUUCUAAGAGCAUUUUGGGUAAUGUAUACAAGAAUUAUACAUACUGUUAAAUACCAUAAAUUGCACUUCUAGAAAGUUUUAGAAACUUUUAGAAAUUAAUCUCUAAACUUAGGUUUAUAAGAAUAAAUCCAAACUCAACAACGUGAAUAUAAAAUAUCCCCAUUUUCAACUAUCUAUCUUGAUGAGAAAGCAUUGUGAUAUUGUGGGUUGGAUUAUGUGUUUAAAAUUUUCCCCAAACCCCCCAAUACCAUUGGCAAAGUUUUGUUUUUCCAAGGCUGCUUCCAGUGCAUGGUUCUGAUUCUCGCAGCAUGAGGAUGGCAGAUGGGCUGCGUCUCAGGGAAGAGGUGUAACCAAGUGAUCAGUUACCCUCACCAAUGAUGAGUUAAACUCACGUCAAGUGCCUCUUUGAUGUGAUACCCUGAGGAUGACACGGCAUCACUCACCUUGGGAUUCCUGCGCAAAACACAUCACCCGAGGAAAUAGCAGAGCAUCCCUGGGGCAGGACCUACCAAGGAGGACGUCCACGGCUCCUCGCAGAGUGUUUCAGAUGGAUAUACAGUUAACUGUCAAACAGACAUCUCCUGAUGAACAGAUCUCUGGCGACAGAGGAGAAUCAUACGUGAUGCCCUAGAGAAUCAUACAUGAUGCCCUAGAGAAUCAUACGUGAGGACGUUGCAUCUUACUUUCAAAAGACACCGUCUUAAUCCUCAGGAGACACAACCACUUUAUUUGAAAGACUUGUUAAAUAUUCUACCACUCGGCUGGAGUAAAGAAUUUAUUGGAACAAGAGAGGUCUUGCAUGACCCUCAGCGGACAAACACUUCUUCAUUGCUUUGCCAGCUUGUCUUCCCCGAGCUCCAGGAUGUGGAGCUCACGGCUGGUUGCACUUAUGGAUGUCAGCUGGGCUUCCAGUCACCCGGGUCAUGCCGUCGAAGUCAAACAUGCCGUCUUCCUGUGCCUAAUAACACACUCCAC